GCUCUCAUCCUUCUGCGCCUUCUUCUGUAUUCACGCGCUCCCACGGGGUUCAUUGAGCGCUAUGACGGAGUUUAUUGAGCGUUCUUUUAGUUAUUAUUUUCUAUUUUAUGAUGUCUCCUGUUCUUGUACUUUUCCUUUCUAUAUGACGAAGGUAAUGGCUCUCAUCCUUCUGCGCCUUCUUCUGUAUUCACGCUCUCACACGGGGUUCAUUGAGUGCUUUGACGGGGCUUAUUGAAUGUUCUUUAUUUGUUCUACUUUAUAAUGUUUCCUGUUCUUGUACUUUUCCUUUUCUAUACAACGAAGGUAAUGGCUUUUUCUUCUGCGCCUUCUUCUGUAUUUACGCACUCCCACGGGGUUCAUUGAGUGCUUUGACGAGGUUUACUGAAUGUUCUUUAUUUGUUUUACUUUAUAAUGUUUCCUGUUCUUGUACUUUUCCUUUUCUAUACGACGAAGGUAACGGCUUUUUCUUCUGCGCCUACUUCUGUAUUCACGCUCUCCCACGGGGUUCAUUGAGUGCUUUGACGAGGUUUACUGAAUGUUCUUUAUUUGUUUUACUUUAUAAUGUUUCCUGUUCUUGUUUUAUUUUCUAUUCUAUCCUUCUAUCCUUCUGCGCCUCCUUCUGUAUCCACGCGCUCUCACGGGGUGUUCUGAGCCCUAUGACUGGGUAUAAUGGGCGUUCUUUCGAGGUUCUUCAUGUAUUUUUUUCAGUUUUCGUCUCUAUUUUAUGAAGUCUCUUGUUCUUGUUCUUUUCUACACAGCGAUGGCCCUCUUCCUCUUCCUCCUCCUUCUGCAUCUUUUGUACUCAUAAGCUCAUUCUCUCACAGGGUUCUAUAUGCGCUGUUUCCACUUUUUGCUUAUUUUUCGGGGUUGUAUUCUUCCGGAGUUCUUUCCACUGAUUAUCUCUUGUUCUUGUCAUUCGGUUCUUUUAUUUUCUAUGCAAUGAUCCUCUUCCUCCUUCUCCUCCUCUUGACCUCUUGCGCUCUUUCGGGGUUCUUUCCGCUUAUGACCUCUUGUUCCUCCUCUUCCUCCUUCUCUUUUUUCAGGAUUUCCGUUUGUGUUAUCCGCUGUCCCUAUUCUUUUUCUGUUCUAUACAAGGCAAUGGCCCUCCUUCUGCACCUCCUUCUGUCUUCGUGUGUCUUAAGGGAUUCUUUAUGUUCUCUUUUGGAGUUUAUUAAGCGCUUUUUUGUUUUUCCUUCUUGUUCCUCUUUUUCUUUUCUAUACAUCGAAGCUAAUGGUCCUGAUCCUUCUCCACCUUCUCUGUCUUGAUGUGCUCUUCCUGGGUUUGCCAUGAGCUCUUUUGGGGUUUAUUUAGGUUUACUUGGGUUUACUCUUAACUUUUGGGGUCAUUUCUACACUGUGACGUCCCCUGUUCUUCCUCAUCCUCACCCAUCUCUUUUUCCUCUUCUGCAUUAUUACACUUUUGGGGGGUUCAGUAUACACGUUCUUUCAGGGUUCUAAUGCCUAAAUUCUUCCUGAUUUUUUUCCUCCUUCCAAAUGCUUCCAGUUGCCUUACGAAUAUCUGGUACUCCUGUUUUCUUUUUCUUCUUUUCUUCUAGGUGACUUUGACCCUUCUCUAAGUUAUCUUUUUUUCCCGGUUCUUCAUUGAGUUCUAUUGUCUUCUUGGUGCCUUCUAUCUUCUCUUACUUUGGUCAAUGGAUGGAUUUUUUUUCAUUCUUUUGUCUUUUUGGGUUCUUCCUAUUUCCCCCCUGCUUUCUGGUGUCUUCCAAUUGACCUUCUUAUGCUUCCUCUUCUUGUUCUUUCUGUGUUUUUUUUGUCUUUAUCCUCAUCUUCUGUUCUUCUUUCUUUCUCUUUUCUUCCUGUUUUCGUUUAUAUCUCCUCUUUCUGCGCUCUUUUUCAAUCUGUCCUCGUCUUAUUUUUCUUUCGUUAUAUUUUCUUCCUGCCUCCUUAUAUCUUCCUGUUUUUGUUUAUCUCUCCUCUUUCUGCGCUGUUUCCUUUUUUAUAUUUGCCUUCGUUUCUUGUUCUUCCUUCUUUCUAUUUUCUUCCUCUUUCCGUUUCUCUCUUCCUUGUUUUCCUCCUUUUCCAUUUUUUCUUCCUUCUCUGUUAUUCAUCCCUUUAGUUCCACGUCCUCUUCAUCCUUCUUCUCCUCUUCCUCCAUAUAAUUGCUCCUCUCUAUCUUCCAUUCUGUUCUUCUAUAUCACGCUUUUGUCUUCUCCCUCAUUUUUCCUUCCUUCAUUUUCCUCCUCCACUUCCUCCAUCCUUCUACGCAUCAUCCUCUCUAUCUUCCUUUCUGUUCUUCUAUAUCUUCGCUUUUGUCUUCUCCCUCAUUUUUCCUUCCUUCAUUUUCUUCCUCCACUUCCUCCUUCCUUCUACGCAUCAUCCUCUCUGGCUCCUCAUCCUCCUACUUCUUCCUCCUAUCUCUUCCUAAGCCUCUCAUUCAUCACCCUCUUCUUUUUUUUUUACCUCUUCUCCUCCUCUUCUUUCUCUCUUCCUUAUAUGGGGGGGCCGCCUACUCGCCGUUUUCUUUCAGGUUUUCAGGGCGACUAAAAAAGAAGAUGGACAAAUGAUGAUGAUGAUGAUGAUGGCGAAGAAUAUUUUUGUAUCUUUAUCUUCAUCUUACUCACUCCCCCCUCCGACCCCUCUCCCCCCAAUAUCGAUGAUCAACUCGGCCCUGAUUCAAUUCCUCUUGGUGUUCGGUCUGACUUCUAUUUAUUUUUUCUUUAUCCCACAUUUUUUUUUCAUAUAUUUGCUGUUUUUUUCACAUUUUUUUCCGUUUUAAUAUUUUAGUUUCCUUUUAAUCUUUUUUUUUUUGGUUUAACUUUCUUCGACUAUUUUCUCUUUUUUUUCCAUUUUUUUAUUCUAUUUUUAUUUGCUUUCUUUUACACGUGUUAAUAAUUAGUUUUCGUGUUGCGGAUCAGACCUUUUUUUUCACUUUUUAACUCACUUUUUUUCUUUUUCUUCAUAUGUCGUUAAAAAUUAAUGAGCCGUGUGAUUCUCUUUUUGCUUUUCUUUACCUUAAUUUCAUACAGCAUUAUCAUCUUUGUUCAGGCUGUUACUACUACUGCUACUACUACUACUACUACUACUACUACUACUACUACAUCUACUACUGCUACUACUACUACUACAACAACAACACUUUACUUCUACUAUUCAUCUUUUCAUCAACUAUUUUCCACCUAGAUUAAGAUUAUUCAACAUUAUUAUCAUUUAACUUUUUUUGCCUAACUUUUAAUAUUUAACUUUUAUGUCUAAUAUUUUUUUUAUAAUUUCAGCUGCUCCCAGUUUGCUAUUAUUGCUAUUAUCACUUGCUAUUGCCUAUAAAUAUAAUAAUAAUAAUAAUAAUAAUAAUAAUAAUAAUAAUAAUAAUAAUAAUAUCCUUUGUUCUUCAAUUUACUUUUGCUAUUAUGAUUUAUAUGUCCUUCUUAUUUAUCUAUUUAUUUAUGUACCUAUUCCCCCAUUUAUUUAUUUCUUCAUUUAUUUAUUCAUUCAAGCCAGUGACCCACGUACACCCUCCCUGCGGGCCCCAUCAAUUUACGCCCGUUUUCUUUCCCGCUCCAAGUCAUAAAAAACGGGAAGAGAUUUGCAACUCAAGUGUAACAUAAGUGUUUUAAGAGCUCACCAUCCUCUUCCACCUCUAGUUAGGGAUAAGGAAAGGAGGGAAACGAGGGGAAGAGAAGGGGAAAUGAAGGGGGAAAUGACGGGACUGUUAAUAGAGAAGAUGGGGAAAGGUUUAGCUGUUGAGAAAACUGAUGAAAAGGAAAAAUAAAGGGAGAAUGGAAGAGUUUAUUUAGAGAAAGAGGGAGGAGUGAAACGAGGGGAGAGGAAUAAAUAAGAAAAUGGAAGAAGGAGAGAGACUUAAUUGUUCAGAGGGGAAGUGAAGGAAGGGGAAAUAAAUAAAGGGGAAUGGUAGAGGUUAGUUAAACAUAAGAAAGGAGGGAAAUAAAUGAAGGAAAUAGUGAGAAAGUUAUUAUCAAAGACUGUUAAAGAGAGGGAAAGAAGGGAAAAAGUUUGGUUAUUAAGAGGUGAACUAAGGGAAGGGGAAAAUAAAUAAAUGGGAAUGAUGAAUAUUAGAUAAAGAUAAGAAAGAAGGGAGAUGAAGGGGGAAUUGAGAGGAAACUUAAUAUAUAGGACUGUAAAUAGGGGAAAAAAAGGGGAAAGCUAUAUUUUUGAGAGAGAGCUGAUGGAAAGGGAAAAUUUUAAAGUAAUUGCAGUUUGAGUUAAAAAAAAGAAAAAUAAGAGGAAAAUGAUUGGAAUGUUCUUAUCCAUGACUGUUAAGAGGAAAAAAAUGAUAAGGUUUAUUUUUCUAAGAGAACUGAAGGAAGGAAAAAUAAAGAAAAGAGAGAGGUAUAAUUUAUCGGAGAGAGAGAGAGAGAGAGAGAGAGAGAGAGAGAGAGAGAGAGAGAGAGAGAGAGAGAGAGAGAGAGAGAGAGAGAGAGAGAGAGAGAGAGAGAGAGAGAGAGAGAGAGAGAGAGAGAGAGAGAGAGAGAGAGAGAGAGAGAGAGAAUCAGGGUUAGCUCACGGAGGGGAGCCAAAUAGUUUAAAUAUUCAAGAAACACAGACAAAAUAUACUGAUAAACAUUUACAAAACAAACAAAUAUGGGGAAGACAAAAAUAUCCUUCUCUUAAACUAUGGUAGAUAGAUAGAUAGAUAGAUAGAUAGAUAGAUAGGAAAAAUACGUAUAAAGAUAAGAUAAAGAAUAAAUAUAAAUACACUAAAGAUAAAUUUGAGAAUAAGAAGGAAUAAAAACAGAGACAAGAGGAAAAGACAAGAAUAAUAGAUAUUUCAGAGAGAGAGAGAGAGAGAGAGAGAGAGAGAGAGAGAGAGAGAGAGAGAGUCACGCUCCUUCCCAUAUUAAGGAAAUUCUGGCGGGAAAACAGAGAAGAGGAUCCAUCUUGUACACACUUUUGGCACCUCCUCCUCCUCCUCCUCCUCCUCUUCCUCCUCCUCUUUCGUCUUCCCGUCCACUUAUCUGAUUUUUACAUUUUUCCUUCUUUAUUUUUUUUCACUUCUUUACAUAUUUUCUCUACUUUUUUUUCUCUUAUUUUUGUUCUUCCUCUUCUUCUUCUUCCUCCUCCUCCUCUUUCGUCUUUUCCAAUUUGUUUAUUUUCUGAAGAUGACGUUAGUUAGUGCUACUGAGAGAGAGAGAGAGAGAGAGAGAGAGAGAGAGAGAGAGAGAGAGAGAGAGAGAGAGAGAGAGAGAGAGAGAGAGAGAGAGAGAGAGAGAGAGAGAGAGAGAGAGAGAAUGA